AAAAUUUACAAGGAAUUGCAAUAUUUUAUUGCAAAACUAGUAUAUACUAUAUAAUCGUAUAAUGUAUAAUUAACUUUAUUCCAAUUUUAAGUAAAACAGAGCAAAAACAUGCAUAUUUGCUAUUGAAUUAUAUAAUAUACUCGUAAUAUAAUUUAUUGAGGCAAAUUCGAGUGUUUUAUAAGCUAGUUAGUUCUUAAUAUCUUAAAAUCUCGAGUAAUCCUUAUUUUGAACUAUGAACAUAUAUAUACAUAUCUACAUAUGUAUGUAUUAAUAUAUCAUUUGAGAUUUACUGAGUUUGCUGAAUUUUGAGUCAAGCUUCCAUCCGAUUUCUGACACAAUACAUACAUAUGUGUUUUAAGGCUUCAUUAAAGGAUGUUAGUUAAGUAUGAUUAUGGGGAUUGCCCUUAUUGAAUCAUGGAAAACAGAUUUUCGUUGGUUAAAAUCUUAAAUUAAAUUCCUUUGCUACGAAGUUUAAGCGUAAAUUACAGUACAGUGAAAAGAUAUUAAUCAAAUAUCUAUAAAUUGUAUACCAUUACUAUUUAAAGUAAUAAAUAUGUAAAUAUGUAUGUAUGUAUGUAAAUAAUAACCAAACAAAUGCCUAUAAUUUUCUGAAAGAUUCGAGAAACAUUUCGCUGAUGUUAGUUGGGAUGCCUGUAUGAGAAUAAUCCAGACUUUCGUAAAUGGACAUAUAGUGUGAAUAUUUGUAUGUAAAUACAUACAUACAUAUGUAUGCGGAUACAAACAAGUUAUUGAAACGUCAUAGCGGCAUGCAUUUAAGCACGUACAUAUUUACAUAGAAGCCGUAGGCGCAAAACGUGAAAAAUUUGUGUACAUACAUAUAUGUAUACAUUUUCUACCUUCAACAAACUCCCAAAAUAUAAUAUAAAGAAUUAUUAAUUUUAUUAUAAUAAAGGGAUACAAUAAAAUUAUAAAAUCGGUGGUUGUUAUUUUUAUAUAUGUACAUACAUACAUAUGUAGGUACAUACAUGCAAGAAAUACAUAUAUAGAACAUUAUCCAAGUUUCUAGAAUUCGCUGGCACCCCGUAGCUGAAAAAACGGCUUCCACUUUGUCAGAAUGAGCGAUUUAAAAUAUAUACAUAAAAAUAAAUGUGUGUGUUUUUCAUUAGAAAGAAAGAGGUGACUGUACCGCUAUAAUAAAUUGUAGAUACGCUCAUAUAAAAAAUCAUACAUACAUAUGUUCAUAUAAACACAUUUAAGAAAACAAAGCAGGCUGAGAGCACUAGCUAGUAUGCGAUAUUUUUAUGAUUUGUUAUUGCUUUAGUAACGACUUUCAACGUAUUUUUUGCUAAUUAAAAUUUAUAAAAUACUAUAAAUAAACAUAAAUAAUUAUAAUAAAUAACAGAAUUUCAGUAAAAAUUGGCAUGAACAUUAAAAUUUCACAACGACUUGGUGAUUUCAUUGUUUUCGUAUUGAUCCAGGUGAUUAUUAUACGUACAUAUGUAUGUAUGUCUGUCAGCUGAAUACGAUCCAAAAAGUCAGUAUACCUUCUCGCUUAUCGUUAACUUACACAGAAAAGGUAAUACAUGAACUCCUUGUGUGUUGAAGUGAGACAAAUAGACUCAAAACGAAAAUCAAUAAAAGCGAUUUGACUGUGGAAUUUUCCCGACUUUUCCGAGCUGCACAGCCAACGGGUAUAAAUACAGCAACGCCAGUCGACAUUCUAUCAUUUGUGUUUCAGUCGUACAACAAGGUGUUUAAAAAUAUUAAAGAGUCAAAUUGUGAAAAAGUGUAUUGGUAGCUGAAAAAGUGUUUUAAUAGUGUGAACGAAGAAGAAAAUAGUUCUCUGGAAAUGGCUGCCGGAAAUUGGGCUUUAUUGAGGAAAUUGCAAGUACGGUUAGGCGAAGAACCGGGAGGCUAGCAGAGGCGACAUACUUAAGCAUGAGCUUUAAAGGAAUUCAAUGAGAACAGAUGAAAUCUAGGCACAGGGCUGACUUUUUGGAUGUUUUUUUCAAACACAUUUGGCCGUCCAUUAGCUGUUACUGCGUACCCUAGUUACCAAUUAGGCAGGCUGAUUCGGUGAGGAAUCUAUGCAGAACAGAAAGACAGGCAGGCAGGCUUAUUACAUGGGCAUUUACUUACAUACAUAUGUGUUGGAAAGAAUUCAAAGGCAGGUGUAAGAUACGAUUUCGGGCAGAAAACUGCGUUGAAAAAUGUCUGUGUAAAGCCUAGAGCAUGAGUAAUCCAAUGGAUUUGGGAAGAUGAGUAAGUUGUUGGGCGUCUUUGAAAAGCAAUUUUGUCGUUUAUACUACUUCCGCUACAUGCAAACAUUAGUCUAUAACUAAAUGUUAUUGCAGUUUGCUGAUAAAAACUGAAACACUACUCAGUUAUAAUGACAAUAAUUGACCAUAGGCGCAGAGCUCCUCGUUCGUAAGAAACUGAAGACAAAGCGAUAAACCCAUCUACUACAAUAUCCAUAGUAUAUCUUCUUCGACAUUGUUGUUUCUUCUACUGCCAAAAAGGUCCUUGUCAUCGACGGUAGAGGAAUGUUAUGAUGCAGAAUUGGUAUUUGUUUUGUUCCACUUACUUACAUAGGAUAUACUGUUCAUAUAAAUAUAAAUAUACGUACGUUAAAAACCCCCAGUUUAGCACAAAUUGUUAAGAAACCUAACACAAAUCAUUUUUUUUAUUAUAAAAAAACGUUGAAUUAUAUAUUUUAAAGGCUGAAAGAGUAAACCAAAUGACUCCGUAUGUACAUAUGUCUUAAACUUACAUAAAUCAAACUUAUUGAAAUAUUGUUUUAUCGGUCUCUUACAUAAUUAUGUUAAUACAAAAUUACUGCGUUAUUUAUCAGAUAUGACAAAACCAAUUUAUAUAAAUCAAAACCAAACACAAUGCAGAAAAAAAACAUAAAAAACUAAAAAAAAUUAAGAAAAGCAUUACAACGAAGGUAAAAAUAAAUAACUAUUCCUUCCCACUU